rnacentral:rRNA from 1 species
GGGGGGGCAAGCGUUGUUCGGAAUUACUGGGCGUAAAGGGCUCGUAGGCGGCAACUAAGUCAGACGUGAAAUCCCCAGGCUCAACCUGGGAACUGCGUCUGAUACUGGAUGGCUUGAAUCCGGGAGAGGGAUGCAGAAUUCCAGGUGUAGCGGUGAAAUGCGUAGAUAUCUGGAGGAAUACCGGUGGCGAAGGCGGCAUCCUGGACCGGCAUUGACGCUGAGGAGCGAAAGCCAGGGGAGCAAACGGGAUUAGAUACCCCGGUAGUCCUGGCCCUAAACGAUGAAUGCUUGGUGUAACGGGUAUCGAUCCCUGUUGUGCCGAAGCUAACGCAUUAAGCAUUCCGCCUGGGGAGUACGGUCGCAAGGCUG